CGGAGGGUGCAAGCGUUGUUCGGAAUUGCUGGGCGUAAAGCGCGUGUAGGUGGCUUGUUAUGUCAGGUGUGAAAGCCCUCGGCCUAACCGAGGAAGUGCGCCUGAAACUGCCAAGCUUGAGUACGAGAGAGGAGGACGGAAUUCCCAGUGUAGAGGUGAAAUUCGUAGAUAUUGGGAGGAACACCGGUGGCGAAAGCGGUUCUCUGGAUCGAUACUGACACUAAGACGCGAAAGCGUGGGGAUCAAACAGGAUUAGAUACCCUGGUAGUCCACGCCGUAAACGAUGGAUAUUAGUUGUUGCGAGUUUAACCCUCGCAGUGACGAAGCUAACGCAUUAAAUAAUCCCGCCUGGGAAGUACGGCCGCAAGGUUA
rnacentral:rRNA from 1 species